rnacentral:rRNA from 1 species
UACAGAGACUGCAAGCGUUAUUCGGAUUCACUGGGCGUAAAGGGUGCGCAGGCGGCCAAGUGUGUGAGGCGUGAAAGCCCGGGGCUUAACCCCGGAAUUGCACCUCAAACUACAUGGCUAGAGCAUUGGAGAGGGUAGCAGAAUUCAUGGUGUAGCAGUGAAAUGCGUAGAUAUCAUGAGGAAUGCCAGAGGCGAAGGCGGCUACCUGGACAAUUGCUGACGCUCAGGCACGAAAGCGUGGGGAGCAAAAGGG